rnacentral:rRNA from 1 species
UACGUAGGCAGCAAGCGUUGUUCGGAAUUACUGGGCGUAAAGAGUGUGUAGGCGGUGCUCUAAGUUCGGUGUGAAAUCUCCCAGCUUAACUGGGAGGGUGCGCCGGAAACUGGAGUGCUUGAGCGCGGGAGAGGAAAGCGGAAUUCCUGGUGUAGCGGUGAAAUGCGUAGAUAUCAGGAGGAACACCUGUGGUGUAGACGGCUUUCUGGACCGUAGCUGACGCUGAGACACGAAAGCGUGGGUAGCAAACAGG